GGCCCAAAUAAAGAUGACACUAAUGUUGCCCACUUGGAAAAAACAAUUGUUAAAUCCAUGAAGAAAAGUGGUCAAUUCCAGAGUAAUAGAAGUAGCAGUAGAAAAGGAGCCACUAUGGAACUUUAUCACAAAUGUGGAAGUCCUGGACACUUUAUUAAGGAUUGUCCAAUGCACAAAAUGGAACAUUAGGAUUAUCAAAAUACUAGAGGUGACAAAGGAAGAGAUAGGGACCAGGUCAC
rnacentral:lncRNA from 1 species